GUGGAAACUCCAGUUACUGUACGAUCACCGAAGUUAAGCAGCGUCGGGCCUGGCCAGGACCUAGAUGGCUGACUGCUUGGGAAUGCCAGGUGUUGUAAG